rnacentral:lncRNA from 1 species
CUUACACAAGUCUAAUUAGCAUAACAAAAUCCAGCCAGGAAGAGAAAACAAGCUCCUCUUAUUUGAUGCUUCCUGGUAAUUAGCAAGAACAAUUACUGCAGCAUCCGGAAUUUCCAACCCCCAAAGAUGCCAGGGCCACACUUGAGCACAUCAGGAAUCAAUUUAGAGAAGCCAAAAUAAGGCCAUUAUGAGGGAUGCUCAACCCGAGCGUGACAUGUGUGUUUGCAAGCAAGCAAGCAAGCACUUCCCCGCCCACACCGCCCCUGUGCUGACCGCUGCAGCCUGCCUCCUGCCCUUCCCCGCGUCCACACACACACGCCCGUUCAUACGCUCCUCGCCCAGGUCUUCGCGCAUCCAGCAUCCAUUCAUUCAGCAAAUGUCAGCGACUGGACCUGCUGCUUUGUUCAGAAGGUGCAAAGUGGAAGCAAGACAACUGGGCACCUUCUUCCCUCUGCAGAGCCCGUGAACACCGUGGUGCCAUUGCCGCCGUCUUUCAUCCCUUUUGGCAAAGAACCCGCGCCAUCGGGUCCUCUGAAGUGCGGGAGACGGAUCGCUGAUCUGCCGGGGAAUGUGCUCUACAAGGUUAAGCAUGUUUGCCCAAGAAAUACGGAUAAUGCUCUUAGCACGUAUGACCUUUACGAUAUGUGGAACACUGUCCGUGACAAAAAUGCCAUUUUUUAAAUGGUUUUCACGCCGGGGUAUCCAGCCAUUAAUCAUGCUGCAUAUGAGUGACUGUAGGGGCUGCCUAGAAAAUCCUAGAGCCCCACGUUAGAUUCCUGGCGGGCCAAGGGCUGUGUGUGAACCUUGACUUCAUUAGGAUCUGCACCGCCGAUGGCUUCCUGGGCUGGGUGGCCCCCGGGGGCUCCUGCAAAAGAGCCUGGCUUCUCAGCACCUUCACAGGAGUGGCCACGGGCUCCUUAUUUUAAGGUGUCUUUGUGUCCUUGGAGCUGAUAAAUAACUCAUUUUGGAUGCCUCUGCUGAGCCUGCAUAUUUAGUGCCCACGAACUGCAUCUCAGAUGCUGGAGGCUAUGCCGCCCCUCUCCCUCCCUCUCCCGGCUGCAGAGCUGGGCAUUGCUCAGUAGGGGAAUGGCUGAUGCUGGGCGCCGGCCUGAUUGGAGGGAAGUGAUAGAAUUCAGGAUUUUUACUUCCAAAAAGGCAUUUUCCAGGGUCAGCCAGUUAAUACCUGCACAGCCCCAGUCAGAGAGCCCCCAGACGCCUGUGGGUCCCAAGCACGAGAAAAUGAGUCUGGUCUGUGUCGAGAGGCACUGGGUGUGCAGAACACACACAGGAUUUCAAAAGCUUGAUAUAAAAAGCACAAACUACCUCAUUCAUAAUUUUCACACUGAUUAGAUGUUGAAAUGAUAAUGUUUUGGAGAUACUGGGUUAGAUCAUAUGUAUUAUUAAACUUAACUUUACC